rnacentral:rRNA from 1 species
ACUAGCCUAACUGAAAUCACAAAAUCACAAAUUGUGCUUAUUGUGAUAACGUAAGGGAAAAAAAUGAUAUAACUUUACUAUUAGUGUUGUCUAAAUAACUGGUGCCAGAAGACUCGGUAACACCAGAAACGCGAACGUUAGUCGUCUUAAACAGGCGUAAAGGGUAAGUAGGCUGCUUUAAAAAUCUAAUUUAAAUUAAGCUAAUUAAUAAUAUUACUCCCUCACCACUAGCUCCGCAACUGCUUUAUUCUCUUUUUUUUUAAUUAAGAAAGGCUAAAAAAGUCCUCCCCCCAUUAGGGGUCGCGCAAGCGCACUUUAUUUAAAGUAAACCUAAAGGUCAAGGGAGUUGUAGCGAAGCAACUAGGGUGUACAAAUCCUCAGUUGCAAAACAAUGGGAUAACUUAAAGUUUUCAGAACUUAAAUUAUAAUUUAAGGCUAACUUAAAAUGAAAAUAGGGAAUUAUUAAAUGAAAAAAAUAGAUACACUUAAAGCUAGAAUCAUAAUUGAGAUAAACCAAAUAAUACUUAUGUGUAAGGGCGAUAUCUGAAAAUACUAAGUAGAAUACUAACGGUGAAAACUUUUUAUCUGGUAAUGAUUGACGCUGAGGUACGAAAGUGAGAACAGGGAAUAGGAUUAGAUACCCAGUUACCUCUCACCGUCAACGAUGAAUGGUAGUUGUUAGUUUAAUUAAAUUAGUGACGAUGUUAACGCGAUAACCAUUCCGCCUUGAGAGUACGGUUGCAAAACUGAAACCAAAAAAAUUAGUCGGUCUCGGAGCAAA